rnacentral:lncRNA from 1 species
UUACACAGGGGAGGACUUGGCCUGGGGUUGAGAGAGGCCAACAUGGCCCAGGUCACAGCACUAGAAAGAGGGCAGGAUUCUCACAGGGUCCCCUCUGCUGCCAAGGCCCUGCUGCUGACCCUGACACACACACUCGGUGUCCCCCACACAGCGAUGAAUCAGAUACGUCCACAGAGAGAGGUAGGAAUAGGUUUAGUGAGGCCAGGCAGCUCACUCGGCUUCUUUGAGUCUCGGUUUAUCUGCUGAAAAUCAGAAGUGCAUGAGCAUUGAGUCCUCCACAAAUUACGGCUCUCUUCCCUCUUAAACACGAUACUCGCCCGCCUUGCUGGGUCUGUCUGCUGCUGAUUCUCUCGGGCAGUGGGUGUGCAGUAAAGCCUAUCUGCUCUCCC